GACGAACGCUGGCGGCGUGCUUAACACAUGCAAGUCGAACGGAAAGGCCCGGCUUUUGUUGGUUUCUCGAUUGGCGAACGGGGGAGUAACACAUGAGUAACCCGCACUUGUCUGUGUGAUAACUUCAGGGAAAUGGGGAUAUAACCCGGGAGGAUCUCCUGCUGCGUGGGGGUCAUUAGAAAAUGUCGGCGGUUGGGGAUGGACUCGCUGCUUAUCAGCUUGUUGGUGAGGUAGUGGAUUACCAAGGGUUUGACGGGUAGCCGGCCUGAGAGCGUGACCGGCCACAUUGGGACUGAGGUACGGCCCAGACUCCUAUGGGCGGCAGCAGUGGGGAAUAUUGCACAAUGAGCGGAAGUGUGAUGCAGCAACGCCGCGUGCGGGAUGACGGGCUUCGGGUUGUAAACCGAUUUCGCCUGUGCCGAAGCGUGAGUGACGGUAAUGGGUAAAGAAGCACCGGCUAACUACGUG
rnacentral:rRNA from 1 species